AUGCGCACUUACUGUGUACUUCUACACAUUUUUGCUGUUCUGCUCUUGUGUGAUUAUGGGAUGUGCUCCAAGCCAUCACCAUCUCCAUCUCCUUCAGAGAUGUCCAACACUGCAAUAUCAGCCACAUCUGACUCUCACACUACUGUGAUGACAACAGAAUCAAUAACUGUCGGGAAUGACUCGAGCUCCUUACAGACUGGCUUAAAGUAUGAAGGGUCAUCUGAUUUAAAUGAUACAGAUGACGGCAGUGGAGACGAUUCUGACAUUGAAUUAAAAAAUCCGAAUGUAAGCGUCAGUGGAGUGAUCUCUUCAACCACACAUCCAGAGAGCACCACGGGCAACGUGAAGCCACAUACUAAAGAAAAUAUAGUUUCAGAUUCAGGAUCGUUAACAGGAGGUGUCAUCAUUUUGAUCCUCAUCCUGAUCCUGAUUUGUUUUCUGCUUGGCAUUUUAUUUAUUCUGAGAAAGAAAGCAAGGAGUUACUCAUUUGAUUUGACUCGUGUGGAUGGACCUGGCAAUGAUUAUGACACCCCGCUCAGGAGCGACCAACAAAGCUAUGAACAAACCAACAAAGAUCUGCCUGUGUCUAUGAAUUACAUACAAGAAGGCAAGUCUGAGGAAAAGACUAAUCCUAAAGCAAACGGGUCUACAGGAGAGAAAACUGAACAAACACCUACCAGUGAAAAUGAUGACCAGAAUGCUCCAGAAGAGAACAGUUUCUCUUCAAACUCGAGUUUGUCUACGCCAAUGAAGAAAGUGGAGUUUAACCUGGAUCUGGAUCUGCUUGGAAGUGAAUCUGAAUUUAGUGGUCCGACCGAAGCUGAAGCAACAGAUGCGGUGCAAAAUGAAAACAACAAUAACGUCAGUAAUGCUGGGCGAGGAACAGCAGAAGAGAUCUUCACUGAAAUCAGUCUAGACGAGCCAAAGGAAUAUGCAUAGCAUGUGUUUCCCAUACAACAUUCAAGAUCUCUGGUCUUUGGUACCUAGAUUCAACUAUAUCUGUUUGAGAUGCCUUGAUCCGGACUAUAUGAGUGCAAAAGUGUCCUUUUGACAUUCUCACUUCAAGUUCUGUUUCAUCUAGUGUUAAACGAGAUUGUAUACUGUACAUAAAAAACAACAUUGAAUCAUUAUAGUUUGUUAAAAAUGUUAGCAUACAAAUGCUGUAUAAAAUAAUUUGUGGCUGUAAUAAACGUUUACUGUAGAAUGCA
ensembl:lncRNA